rnacentral:rRNA from 1 species
CCUACGGGUGGCAGCAGUGGGGAAUCUUGCACAAUGGGCGAAAGCCUGAUGCAGCGACGCCGCGUGCGGGAUGAAGGCCUUCGGGUUGUAAACCGCUUUCAGCAGGGACGAGGCGAAAGUGACGGUACCUGCAGAAGAAGCCCCGGCUAACUACGUGCCAGCAGCCGCGGUAAUACGUAGGGGGCGAGCGUUAUCCGGAUUCAUUGGGCGUAAAGCGCGCGUAGGCGGCCUGUUAGGUCGGGAGUUAAAUCCGGGGGCUCAACCCCCGUCCGCUCCCGAUACCGGCGGGCUUGAGUCUGGUAGGGGAAGGCGGAAUUCCCAGUGUAGCGGUGGAAUGCGCAGAUAUUGGGAAGAACACCGGUGGCGAAGGCGGCCUUCUGGGCCACGACUGACGCUGAGGCGCGAAAGCUAGGGGAGCGAACAGGAUUAGAUACCCUAGUAGUC